rnacentral:misc_RNA from 1 species
CUUCAAUAACAAAGAACCAAAAUAUAAAGAUGUAAACAGGGGACGACGGAGAAGAGAAGGAGAAUAUGACGACAACAACAACAACAUCUAAUGAAGUUCUGCAACAUUACCAAAGCCCAAAUACCAAAAUUGAAAAAAAAAAUCAUCCAAACCCAUCAAAUGAAAAAAUCGACAAAAACUAAAAUGAGAACAAAGAAAGAAAGAAAGCGGAAUGGCAUACCUAGGGUGACAUGAG